rnacentral:tRNA from 1 species
GCGCGUGUAGCCCAAUUGGUAGAGGCGGCUGACUUAAACUCAGCUUGGUGAUGAGUUCGAAUCUCUCCGCGCGCACCA